rnacentral:rRNA from 1 species
GUCUUUUUGUUAAAAAUUUAAAGUCGGGCCUGCCCACUGAAACUUUAAAUGGCCGUGGUAUUUUGACCGUGCUAAGGUAGCAUAAUCAUUAGUUUUUUAAUUGAAAGCUGGAAUGAAAGGUUUGAUAAAAAAAUGACUGUCUCUAUUUAAUUUUAUUAGAAAUUUAUUUUUAAGUUCAAAAGCUUAAUUUUUAUUAAAAGACGAGAAGACCCUAUAGAGUUUAAUAAAAAUUAAGGUAAUUUAUAUUUUAGAAUUAAUUUAUUUAUUUUUUAAUAUUAUUUAAUUGGGGUGAUUGAAAAAUUUAAUUAACUUUUUUUAUAUUUAACCAUUAAUUUAUGAUAAUUUGAUCCAAUUUUUUUGAUUAUAAGAUAAAAUUACCUUAGGGAUAACAGCGUAAUUUUUUUAGAAAGUUCAAAUUAAAAGAAAAGAUUGCGACCUCGAUGUUGGAUUAAAAUUAAAUUUUGGUGUAGAAGCUAAAAAUUUUAAGUCUGUUCGACUUUUAAAAUUUUACA